AUGAAUGUUACACAACUGUUUUUAUAAGAGAAAGUCUAACUACUCUAACCAAAUACUAACCAACUUACUAACUGUAUGUAUUGCUGACUUGUACCCUUAAUACUCCCCCUCAAUCUCAACUGGGGAAAACCCAGUUUGAGAUUGGAAGAACAUAUCUGCAAUCACUGCUAUGAAGCUAAACUCUGCACAAACCCAGACCUUUGUCUCUAGUUGAUCUUUGAAGCACAAAGCUGUUUUAAGUCUAAAAGAUAUGCCAAUCCAACCUACUGAUCAUCACAGCAGCUUUAGUCUUUAGAAAUCUGGAAGGAGAUGAGGAAGAUUCCCAUAAGCAAGAAACUUAAACAAAACUGUGUUAUACCACCAUGCGUAUACAUAUGCAACAUAUGACACAUAUCUCCUGCAAGUUCCCCUAUUCCAACUAUGGGAAAAAAAAAAGUUCAGUUAUAUGGACCUCAGCAAUACCAAUACCCCUCUAUUUCCAGCCUUUCAAUUCAACCAAUGGACUUGUACCCUUCUGCCUCUAACCAGAGUUGCACAAAGAAUCACAUGAAGUGCAUAUAAAAUUUCACAUAGAAUAGACGGGAAACGUUACAUACAGUCAUCAUAGGGCCUUCACAAAGAAUCACAUGAAGAAUCUGUGCAAAUUCUUCUCCAGCUGCAGUCAUCAUAGGGCCUUCAGGUUAUGGUACUGAACAACCCAAGUCUCCAUAUGUUAGUGUAUCACGAAGCACCCCCUAUCUGCUUAAUUUGUAUUCAUCUCAUGAACAAUUUCAAGAACUACCCAAGAAUUAUAGAAAACUUGCAAGAACGGCUUUGUGCCGCAAAGAAUCGCAAAGAAUAUACAAGAUAAUGGCUUCGUGCCGCAACAAAUUCAACAAGAAAAUGGCUUCGUGCCUCAACAAAUCAACAGGAAAAAUGGCUUCGUGCCUCAACAAAUCAACAGGACAAAUGGCUUCGUGCCUCAACUAAAAUGGCUUCUUGCCUCAACAAAUUAACAGAAUACUGGCUUCGUGCCCCAAGAAACAUAGUAAAAAAAAAAAAACCCAGAACAAAUCACGACUCCGAAACGAAACAAAUCACCUGAGAACCGCAGAGAUGAAAGAUUAAGCAUAUUCAGAGCUACAACUUCAACACGAACUCCCCAAAAAACCCAUAACUGCCGAGCCCAAGAACAUUCGUGUACCCACAGUGGAUUCGCAGACCCAUUUCCACAAACACCUUCACAUGAAAAUUUUGAGUUUGGCAUUUCGACAAACACCUGGAGUGCACCCAUGUCUGAUCUUUCUUCCAUACCAGAGAACAGAACAGAGAUCAAAGAAUUCACUGACCCAUUUCUUCAAACAGUUGGAGUGCACAAAAUUAGAACGUGAAAAGCUCCUAAGACCAGAAUCCACCUUCAACUACCAGAAAAUCGUCAACUUGAGGAUAUGGAAUUAGAGCAACUGGAUCUUUCUUGUCCCACCAACCUUCCACCUUUGACCACACAAGAUCUGAAGAAGAAAACUUCAGCGCAGGUCAAUCUGGGCUUUUCUGGCAGAGGCAAACUUCAAAAGCUAGUGGGAAGGGCCUCUCUGUCUACGAUUAGCAAUCCGGUGUCGAAAUGAAGGAGGAUUCAUCGCGAUCAGUGGUGAAAUCUCAAUUCAUAUCCCAGAAAAAUAAACCAAGAACAAUCACGGAAGCACCUAAAAUCUAAUGAAAAUUUGAGGAGAAACUUAACUAGAGGAAAAAAAAAAAUGCAAACUACUAAGAAGUGCAACCACCAGAAUCAUGGCCUGAGCUGGUGGCUCUGAUACCAUGUUAACUACAUUGCAGUGUUUGAGAAUUGAAGGGAAAAUCAAGAAGAAAGAUGAAGAGAAGAAGAACACAGAGAGUUUGAGAGAGAG
rnacentral:lncRNA from 1 species